AUAAAAUUAAAAGAUGAGUGGAUAUGGAUUUAGAUAUUAAGAUAGAUCCAUAUCUACUCCAGAUCCGUCUUAGAUCCGCACAUCGAUAUCCAAAUCCGAUCCAAAUCCAUUUUAAACCGAUCCAAAUCCGAUCCGAUUGGAUUUGGAUCACAUGGAUCUUGGAUCAAAUCCAAUCCAUUGCCAUCUCUAACUAAAUCGAGUUCCUUCGUUUGAGUGAAACUGACUAUUAUGGAAUGAGUUAUAUCUCUUUUUCCCAGCAUGCAACUGAAAUUUAAAAUUUUGUUCAUUAAAAAUAAACAUGAUUAGAGAGGGAGAUAAUUUUUUUUUUCCCCCCAAAGGCUAAUAAGGUGGGACAGUGAGUCUUUGUGUUUGGCAAAAUAAUGAACAUUUAAGCGUCGUACGUUUGAAAGUUAUUCAACCAGAUUCCAGACCAGUUUGCUAGUAAACAAACGUGUCACGUUGUAUUGUAUUCCUUCCGUUGCUUAUUCUUUGGUUAAUAAAUUUUCAAUAAAAUUAAAAAAAAAAAAAAAAAAAACCAUUCGGUUGGGCGUUUCAUCAACUAUAUCCACAAACUCAAAUUCAGGAUUUGUGUUCUAUUCUGAUUUAAGCUUUAUGUUGGUCUUUCUAUAAGAAUGUAUGUAAUCAAAUCUCAAUUAUUUUCAAAAUAUACGCACAACUGAACAUCCAAUUUCACAAAUUCAACCUCGUUCAUUGCUUCUGCCCGAGCAACCCCACUUGGUUUGGUACCCCUUGUUUUUGUCUUUUUCAAGGUGAACUACAAUGGAGUCCUGUUAUUUGUUAUGAAAAUAAAAAUAAAAUAAAAUAAUUUUUUUUAAUUUUUUACACAUUAGUCCUGCACCUACACGUAGCAUCAUUUUUCUCACCCAUUUUUCACCAUCAAUAACAUCAUUUUUCUCACCCAUUUUAAUUAAAAGGUAAUUAAAAUUAUUUUCAAUAUAAAAACAGAAUAAUAAAACAAAAUUAUUACUCUUAUUUUUUAAUUAACUACACAAGAUAUUUUACAUUAAAAAAUAUAGAUAGCCACUAGUGACCACUGCUUCUUCACGUGCAAUGACAUUAUUGAUUGAAAGGGGCCAUGAAGGGUACCAUUAGACUUGAAAUUGGAUGAUCUACACAAUGAUAGUCUCAAUGCCAGAAAAUGGUGAUAUGUAGAGUUGUACGCCCCUUCCAAAAUAACUGCAACCAUAACCACACCACAAAAACACAACAAGUUACAUUACACUACCACAUUUUUUUUUUUCAAUUUAGAGACCCUCAAUUUGGUUGUUAAAGGCAAUGAACCUUGAAACGUCGUCUAAUCAUGGGGUCUUGCUAUAGUUGUUUGCAUAGGAAGGUGCAUCUAUCGUCGACACAUCCAUUUAUCCGGCAAACAUUGCCACCAUCACAUAGAUGAUUGGAGAAUUUUCAAUCUAUUGAUAGUAUUUAUGUUUCUAUUCACUCACUUCUAUUUCUUAGCGAUGGUGCCGUCAUUGUUGUUGUUGAUGGUGCAAUAAUUUUUAGCAAUGUUAUUUCGAUUUUUCAUCUAAUUUACAAAACUUAAAUAUUAAUUAUAAUAUUCAAUUUUAAUCUUGUAUGCUCAACUAUUACUAAUAUUCAAGUUCAUGAAUGAAUAUCAGAUAAAUCAAAUUCGGAGUAUUUUGGAUGGAUAUUAUCCAAUCUAUUUGGAUCAAAUACUUAGAUAUCCAACUUGAAUGGAUUUGUUUGCUCUUCCUAGUUGUCAACUCGAUUAAUAACAGUUUUAAAACUCCUAAUAUGAUAACCUAUUUACGACACAAUUAAUUAUACUAAUUGACUUAUAUUUUAAUGGAUAGAUAUGUGCUGAACUGCCAUCUCUAUUGUUAUCCAUGUGCGAUGUUAGCAAAAGAGAAGAAAGAAAAUAUAUUACUUAUCAUUAUUCUAUUUUUACUAAAAAAUAUUUAAAUUAUUUUCAAAUAGAGUAAUUGUUUAGAUUUUGUUUUUUACCCUUCUCUCAGAUAAGUUAAUAAAAAUCUUAAUCAUAUGGAUGUGUGCUAAUGACUAUUUAAACUGUUUAGGUGGAGUAACAAAUAUCAAUUUUAUUCAAGUUUGUGAUUAAAUUUAUUCUUUUCAUUUAAUGACAAAAAAUCAACCAAAAAUACAAAACUCAUUGUUCAAAAAAACAAAAAAAGAUUUUAUAAAUUCGUAAACUAACACUUUAUUAUUAUUAGUAUAUUAACAUAUUUUUACUACCUAAUUAGAUAAUUGACAGUAUGUUAAAUAAAUAUUAUGUUACAAAAAAAUAAAACAUUAACUACAUAGAAUUUGAAAUUAAAUUUAUAUUUCGUAUUUUGUACAUUUCAUCCACUUGAUAUAGUAAAGUCUCUUGAAUUAAAAAAAAAAAAAAAGUUAUGGGGUUUGAACCUUGUUCACAUGGGUAAGAGGAAAUUGGUUGCUGUUAUGUUGAAUUAAAAAAAAAUAUAUUUAUAUUUAUCAUUAAUUAUGAUUAGUAAAUAAUAUACAUAUUUUAACUAUAUAGUAAAAUAGUUAAUUUAUUAAUUAAUAUGUAAAUUUAUUAAUUUAAAUAGAUAUUAAUAAAUGUAAAAUAAGUCAUUUAAUUGGAAACCUAGUUCAAUAGUGUAAAAAAAAUUAGAAUAUUAUGGACUUAUAUGUUAUAAUUUUAAAACUUUUGAUUUUUCUUAUUUUACAAAACAAUAAGGACUUUUAAUGUUAAUAACCCAAUAAUCUCAUCUAAGCCAUUGCACAACUCUUGACAAAAAAUGGGAUACCAAACCCCAUGGGUUUCGUAGUUGGACCCUAAUUUUAUAUAUAUACAUACAUACAUACAUAUUGUUGAAAAGUCAAAGAAUUGCUUGCCAAAUUGAAAAGGCAAAGUUGGUGGGUUUGCCAAAUUCAAAAAAAACAAAGUUGGUCGGCUAAGCAAUUUCAAAAGACAAAGUUAGGUGUUGAAAAGCUUGUGCAUGCAAUACAAGAUCCAGCUCAACGGUUUGACAAAUUGAACCCAACUUGGAGCAGAAUUCACUCUAUAAAUAGAGAAGCAUUUUGCAAUUGUAAGUAUCCCAAUUUGAGAGAAGUAGAGAGCAAUUGCAAGUGAGUUCUUUGAGAGAAUUUGAGAGAGCUUCCACUUGAGUGUUCUAGUGAGGUUCCAUUUGGGUGUAUUGGGGUUGUGGGUUUUGUGAGUUUUUCCCACUUUUGUAAAUUUCAUUGUUAGUAAAAUUAUCUUCCAGUUUUUUGCCCGUGGACGUAGGCAUUACGCCGAACCACGUAAAUCAUUGUGUUCUAUUUUCUUUGCAUUUGUUUAUCACCACAUUUAUAUUUCUCCAAAAGUUGCAGUAUUAGUAAUUGCUCAACCCACGUUUCCGCAACAAGUGGUAUCAGAGCCAGGUUCGUACUUGGGGGGAUACGGUACUAUUCACGUAUAUGGUACUGUUCACGUAGACGGUACUAUUCCUAUAUACGGUACUGUUCACAAAUACGGUGAAGACGACCAUUUAUACUUAGGAGACAGUCUAUUGUAAGUAGUGUGUAUUUUUGCAUGUCUAGGAAAGUUCUGUCAACAAAGGCGAUAAGAGUCUAAGGAUUAUGGUUUUUAAUUGGGACCGAGUUCCCGUCCAGUCUCCUGGGAACUUUCCUGGUGCAUUUAUUCACGCAAAAUAAACAUCAUAGAGGCUGUUUUUUAAGUGUAAAUAGUUGUUGAAGAAACUGAUCAUUUGAGAUAAAAAGGAUGGCAGAGGCAUCGUCGUCGUCUUCAUCAGUGAGAACUACUGUGACUAAUGCAAAGUUUGAAGUGGAGAAAUUCGAUGGUACCAAUAAUUUUGGUAUGUGGCAAUGUGAGGUGUUGGAUGUCUUAUGUCAACAAGAGUUGGACGUUGCUCUUGAAGAAAAGCCUGACGUGAUGGACGACAAAGAGUGGAUAAAAAUCAAUAGACAGGCAUGUGGUACUAUUCGCCUAUGUCUGACUAAAGAUCAGAAAUACUCCGUCAUGAGGGAGACAUCGGCAAAGAAAUUGUGGGAGACACUGGAAGAAAAGUAUAUGAAGAAAAGUCUUGAAAAUAGGCUUUAUAUGAAAAAUAAACUCUAUCGAUUUACAUAUACACAUGGCAUGUCAAUGAAUGAUCACGUGAACUCAUUCAACAAGAUAUUAGCGGAUUUGCUAAAUCUGGAUGAGAGAUUUGAAGAUGAAGAUAAGGCACUGUUGUUGUUGAAUUCACUUCCUGAUGAAUAUGAUCAUCUCACCACUACUUUGCUUCAUGGGAAGGACAGUGUCACGUUCGAUGCUGUAUGCAGUGCAUUGUACAACUCUGAGACCAGAAAGAAAGAUAGAAAGGAUCACAGAGAUACAGUUGCAGAAGCACUGACAGCGAGAGGUCGUUCGCAAAGUCGCAAACCUGGAAAAAGGAACAAGUCUAAAGGGAGACCUGCCAAAGAUGAAUGUGCUUUUUGUCGCGAGAAAGGGCAUUGGAAAAAGAAUUGUCCUAAGUUACAAAAGGGCAAGGCUACUUCUGAUGCAUGUGUAGCAGAGCAUGAUGAGGAGUCAGACUUUAGUCUGGUUGGCAUGACAUUGAUAUGUCACUCAGAUGAGUGGAUUUUGGAUUCAGGUUGUACUUAUCAUAUGUGUCCUAACAAGGGCUGGUUUUCUAACUUCAAGGAGCUAGACGGUGGAGUUGUUUUUAUGGGCAAUGACAAUGCUUGUAAAACCAUGGGAAUAGGUACAAUCCAAUUAAAAAAUCAUGAUGGCUCAAUCCAAGUUUUGACAGAUGUUCGUUAUGUACCAAGCUUGAAGAAAAAUCUCAUCUCAUUAGGAGUCCUAGAAUCUAAAGGGCUCAUAAUCUCUUUAAGAGAUGGAUUGUUGAAGGUAGUAGCUGGGGCGCUGACGAUAAUGAAAGGCACAAGAAGAAAUAACUUGUACUAUUUCCAAGGAAGUACAGUUAUUGGAUCAGCAUCAACAGUUUCUGGAAAAGAUGCAGAUUCAGAAGCAACCAAGUUGUGGCAUAUGCGUUUGGGACAUGCUGGUGAAAAAGCUUUGCAGACUUUAGCGAAGCAAGGCUUAUUGAAAGGUACAAAUUCUUGCAAAUUAGAAUUUUGUGAACAUUGUGUUCUGGGCAAGCAGACAAGGGUAAAGUUUGGCUCAGCAAUUCAUAAUACAAAAGGAAUUCUGGACUAUGUUCACAGUGAUGUGUGGGGACCUACCAAAACAGCUUCUUUGGGAGGUAUGCACUAUUUUGUUACUUUUGUUGAUGAUUAUUCAAGAAAAGUGUGGGUGUAUUUGAUGAAGAACAAAAAUGAAGUUUUGGGCAUAUUUCUGAAAUGGAAGAAAAUGGUCGAGACUCAGACUGGUCGAAAGAUCAAAAGAUUUCGUUCAGACAAUGGUGGUGAGUACAAGAAUGAUCCAUUUCUUCAAAUAUGUCAAGAUGAGGGUAUUGUGCGACAUUUCACUAUUCGAGAUACACCACAACAGAAUGGGGUGGCAGAACGCAUGAACCGGACUAUACUGGAGAAAGUUCGGUGUAUGUUGUCCAAUGCUGGAUUGGACAAAGAGUUUUGGGCUGAGGCAGUUGUAUAUGCGUGCCAUCUGAUCAACCAUUUGCCAUCAACUGCAAUUAAAGGCAGAACACCCAUGGAGAUGUGGACUGGUAAACCUGCUACUGAUUAUAAUUCUUUACAUGUUUUUGGUUCCACUACUUAUUAUCAUGUAAAAGAAUCUAAGUUAGACCCAAGAGCAAAGAAAGCAUUGUUCAUGGGUAUAACUGGUGGAGUAAAAGGAUACCGUCUCUGGUGUCUGUUGAGUGUUAGAAAAUGCAUAUUUAUAAAGGAGAAAACCGUCAUUUUAUAUUUCAAGUCUUACUAACAACCCUUACUUUUAUGUAUUUAACCUUCUUGUGAUGUAAUUACGUGUGUGUUAUUUUAAUUAAGUAUUUUAUGUAUUUUAGGGGCAUUAUAGUCAUUUCACAAUAAAGGAGAGAUCAGACGGCAAAACGGACAUCACUUUUGAACUCAGGACGGUCGAAAACCUUAGGAGGAGCAUAAAAGGAAAAAUGGCACUAUUCACAUGUACGGUACUAUUCACGUAUACGGUACUGUCUACGUUACUGUUCACGAUACUGUUCACAUAGACGGAUCGAUGACGUGGCAUUGACCGAUGAUGUGGCAUUGACUGAUGAGGUGUCACGAUCCUGUUGGACUAAAAUUCUUAUGUACUGUUGACGGUGACGUGGCAGCAUAUCAGUGGACGAAAAAUCUCGUGUACGGUGCAUGCAUCACACAGGAUUAUUUUCAACCAAACCGCGUUACUGUUCAUCCGGGUCAAACCGUGUUACUGUUCAUCCGCGUGGUCAAACCGUGGACUGUUGACUGAUGACGUGGCGCAAUCCUGAGCGUCCAAACUGUUUUUAAUCCAAUGGCCAUGAUUUACUCCAUGUAUCUAUAAAAAGGGGGCCUCCCCCCCCUAAUUUGAUAUCUCUGAAUCCAUUUUUGGGAUCCAUUUUCUGUAAUUCCCUCUCCAUCUUGUAUUUUCUUUGUAUUUUAAUAAAUUCCCAUUUUGCCCCUAGUUCAAUUAUGAGUAGCUAAUUUCUUUUCAAGCUUAGGUUGAAGGUGAAGUCUCAACAUGUGUCAUGGGCUUUAUUUGGUAAAUUUAUUUUCUUUUCCCCUCUAGUUUUUGUGGAUGAUUUGACUUAUCGUCGACAAAUAAUACUGAUCUUGUCUAGAUACCGCCUUGGUUACACCGGCUCUCUAGUAUAAGGUUAUUAUUAUUUGGCACGAUAAGCCCUUAGCACCAUAUUGAUUAGAGCGUGGUUCAUGAGGUGUGGAUUCCCCCCUCAUGAUUUAAUUGGCAUUAAUAUGGAUUAUUUAGCCCAUGAUGCAUGUUGAUACGGAUCCAGAUACCCAAGUACGUUAUUUCAAUAGAUUUCUCUUCAAUUUACUCUCGCCAUUGCAAUUCCAGUCUUAGAAUUUAUUAUCGCCAUUUCAAUUCCAAUUUUAGGAUAAUUUAAAUCACUUCCACCACAAUUCCAACCACCCAUUUACAAAAUUAAUUCUACAUAUAAUUAAAAUCCACCUCCUCGUGGGAUCGACACUCGUCACCAUUAGUCUAUACUACAAUAGAUUCGUGCGCUUGCGAGUACAUUAAAAUUUGCACAACAAGUUUUUGGCGCCGUUGCCGGGGAGGUAAGUAAUUUUAAUUCAUAGAAUUAAUUUUUGUGAAUAAUUCCAUUUAAUUGUUUUCUUGUAUUUUUUAUUAUUUAAAAAAAAAGAAAAAAAAGUGAAUCUAAAAUUAAAGGUUAGUAUUUCUUUUCUUUCUCUAUUCUUUACAAUUCUGCAAUUUAAUUUUUAAAGUAUUUUUCUUUGUAAUUUUUUUUAAUCUUAUUAAUUUAAUUUUUAGUUAAUCUAUUUCAUCUCUUUAAAAUUCUGUAAUUUAAUUUCAAGUUAUUAUUAUUUUUUUUUCUUUUUAAUUUUUUUUAUCUUAUUAUUAUUAUUAUUUUUAGAUUAAUUUAUUUCACGUAUUUUUUUUGUGUAUGUUUAUAGAAAGGUUGUAAUAGCGCAAUAAGGUUAGUAUCGUAAUUUCUCCCUCUUAUUUAUUUUUAUUUGUUUUGUUCCCAUCUUUAUUUUUAUUUUAUUUUGCAUGCAUGGUCGUAGGUCAUUAUUACCAAAUCUUGAACCUAUAGACAUUGAAUUAGAAAAAACACUUCGCACACAAAAGCACAUUAAUAAAUUUGAAAUGGAUUUACAAGCACCACAGGAGAGGCCAUUUAAGGACUACUUCAGUCCUUUAGCUAAUUUAAGCACAUCAUGCAUAAGAUACCCAAAUGUAGCUGCUAGGAGUUUUGAACUAAAACCUAGUGUGCUAAAUUGUCUCCCCACAUUCUAUGGCUUAGAAAAUGAGGACCCAUAUAAUCAUUUGAAUGAUUUUCAUGCAAUUUGUCAAACUUUUAAAUAUGAAAAUUUUUCAGACGAUGAUGUUAAACUUAGAUUAUUCCCAUUUUUUUUAAAGGAUAGAGCUCGUUCAUGGUUAAAUACUUUGCCUGCUAAUAGCAUUGCAUCAUGGGAACAAAUGGUUACAAAAUUUCUAAAUAAAUAUUUCCCAGUGCAUAAAACCAAUUCUAUUCGCAGGGAAAUUUCAGAGUUUACACAAAGAGAGGACGAGCAGUUUUUCGAAACUUGGGAGCGAUUCAAUGGGCUACUCUUGAAGUGUCCACAUCAUGGGUACGAAAAAUGGCACCAAUGCCAAUACUUUUUGGAGGGAUUAUUGCCGAAUGUGCAAGAAUGGCUAAUGGCAACAAGUGGAGGAGAGCUAAUGUCAAAAAGCGCAACAGAGAUUUGGGAAUUCUUCCAGCGACAAGCGGACAAUUCCCAACAACGGAGUCGAUCACUCAGGAAUACUAGAAGGAUUAAAGGAGUGAAUGAGGUUCACAUUGGCGAGUCAACUUCGGGAAUCAAAGAAGUCAAGGAGAUGGUUGAAGGUCUUGCUCGACAAAUAGCAUCGUUAUCGACUGCUAAAUCAACAGAAUCACAUGACCCUGACUCAUAUCCAGAUCAAGCCAAUGCCAUAGGUGUAAUGAGAAAGCCAUCUAAUUACAACCCAUACUCCAACACAUAUAAUCCUGGAUGGAGAGACCACCCCAAUUUUUCAUGGUCUCAAGGAUUUCAACAGAAUGGACCAGCAGCUCCAGCUCCACCAAUGCAACCAAUUCCUCAAAAUCCUCAAGCCUCUCAGCCACCAUUCAGACCAUACAAUCAGAACCAAAACUAUUCUCAACCCAGACCAUGGGAGGAUGCAUUCCAGAAUUUCAAGAAUGUUACUCACUCCACGAUUGAGCAACAGAACCGCACCAUUGAUGGACUACGAAAUGAAUUGAGAGUGGGCUUUAACUCACAAGCCCAAUCAGUUUCAAGCCUCGAGAAGAUGGUGGGACAACUUGCUUCUUCAGUUCAGACCUUGGCAAUGACUGUUGAGAAAGGAAAAUUUCCAAGUCAACCAGUGCCUAAUCCUAAAGGAGUACAUGAAGCAAGUAUCAGUUCACCACAACAGCAUGGAGAGGUCAAAGCAGUCAUGACCUUGCGAAAAGGAAAGGAAGUCGACAACAAAGUGGAGAUGCCGGUGACAAAAGAAAAUCAAAUUGUACCUGUGAAUGUUGAAGACUCACCACCGGAGGAAAAAGAAGAAACCAACCCACGAGAAUACGUUCCCAAAGCUCCAUUUCCUCAGAGGUUAGUGAAAGGAAAGAAGGGAAAAUCCACAGGUGAGAUUCUCGAAAUCUUCAAACAGGUAAGUGUUAAUAUCCCUUUACUUGAUGCUAUAAAGCAAGUUCCAUCUUAUGCCAAGUUUCUUAAAGACCUUUGUACUAAAAAGAGAAAUAUGCAUGUUCAAAAGAAGGCAUUUUUAACAGAAAACGUUAGUUCUAUACUCCAACAUAAAAUUCCUUUAAAAUGCAAAGACCCAGGCUCCCCCACUAUCUCAUGUAGUAUAGGGAACCACACAAUUGAGAAUGCUUUGUUGGAUUUAGGAGCUAGUGUAAAUCUUCUGCCUUACUCUGUAUUCGUGAAACUUGGAUUGGGAGAAUUACACCCAACUCCAGUGGUGUUACAGCUUGCAGAUCGGUCCACGAAAAUACCUCGUGGUAUUGUGGAGGACGUGCUUAUCCAGGUAGACAAGUUUUAUUUUCCUGUUGAUUUCAUUGUAAUUGACACUCAACCAAUACAGGACUCAAGGAAGCACAUCCCCAUUAUUCUAGGCCGACCUUUCUUGGCAACUGCAGAUGCUCAUAUUCAAUGUAGGACCGGAAAUAUGCAAUUGUCCUUCGGCAACAUGACUAUGGAGCUAAACAUUUUCAACAUUGCCAAACAACCUCACAGUGCAGAUGAUGGAAUUGUUGAUGUGGAUUUAAUAGAAACAAUAGUUGAUAAUACUUUUCUUUCAAACCUUAGUGAUGAUCCUUUACAAACAUGUUUAACUCACUUUGGUUUGGAUUUUGAUAUUGACAGAUCGGUCGAAGAGGUCAACGCCCUACUUGACUCAGCACCAUCCAUGAACACUAAUAAAUGGAAGUCAAGAGUUGAACAACUAGCACCAUCAGAGAAGAAACUCAUUCCAUCAUCAGAAUCACCACCGAAACUCGAGCUCAAACCAUUACCCAACACUCUGGAAUAUGCAUUUUUGGGAGAAGAAAGUACUCUGCCGGUAAUCAUCUCAUCAUCCCUAAAUGACGAACAAAAAGGUAAGUUGUUGGAUGUUUUAAAAGAGCACAAAGGGGCAUUAGGAUGGGCCAUAGCAGACAUAAAAGGUAUAAACCCAGUAGACUGCAUGCAUUACAUUCACCUUGAUGAAAAUGCUAAAACUACUAGGGAGAUGCAACGUCGGUUAAAUCCUAACAUGAAAGAAGUUGUUAGAACUGAAGUCCUUAAGCUAUUAGAUGCAGGUAUCAUUUACCCAAUUUCUGAUAGUUCAUGGGUCAGUCCUGUACAAGUCGUCCCCAAAAAGUCAGGAGUCACAGUAGUUACCAAUGCUGAUAAUGAAUUGAUACCAACUAGAGUAACUACAGGAUGGCGUGUAUGCAUUGAUUAUAGAAAGUUGAAUUCUGUCACACGUAAAGACCAUUUUCCUUUACCAUUUAUUGAUCAAAUGCUUGAUAGAUUAGCAGGCCAUGAAUUUUAUUGCUUUCUAGAUGGCUACUCAGGAUAUAAUCAGAUUCCCAUAGCACCAAAAGAUCAAGAGAAGACCACUUUCACUUGUCCUUUUGGCACAUUUGCAUAUAGGAGAAUGCCAUUUGGAUUAUGUAAUGCACCUGCUACAUUUCAACGAUGCAUGUUGAGCAUUUUUUCUGAUAUGGUUGAACGAUUCCUUGAAGUCUUUAUGGAUGAUUUUUCUGUCUUUGGUGACUCGUUUGAUCAAUGUUUACAUCAUCUAACGCUAGUUCUGCAGAGAUGUACCGAGAAGAACUUAGUCUUAAAUUGGGAGAAGUGUCAUUUUAUGGUAAAACAAGGUAUUGUUCUCGGUCACAUCAUUUCGAGCAAAGGUAUUGAGGUUGACAAAGCCAAGGUGGAUCUCAUUUCUAAUCUUCCUCCACCUAAAACAGUCAGAGAAGUAAGAUCUUUCCUUGGGCAUGCUGGUUUCUAUAGACGUUUCAUUAAAGAUUUUAGCAAAGUUUCUAGACCCUUAUGCAAUUUACUUGCUAAGGAUGUACCUUUUAUCUUUAAUGAUUCAUGUCUUAUGGCUUUUGAAAAAUUAAAGCGAUUGUUGACAUCAUCACCCAUCAUUCAGGCCCCAAACUGGAGCUUACCAUUUGAGCUCAUGUGUGAUGCAUCUGAUUAUGCAGUAGGAGCAGUAUUAGGACAAAGAGUUGAUCGAAUUCCCCACGUUAUUUACUAUGCUAGUAUGACAUUGAAUGAUGCACAGUUGAAUUAUUCAACUACUGAAAAAGAAAUGCUAGCAGUAGUGUUUGCAUUAGAGAAAUUUCGAUCUUAUCUCAUUGGUUGUAAAAUAAUUAUAUUCACAGAUCAUGCUGCUCUUAAAUAUCUUCUCACAAAGAAAGAUGCAAAAGCUAGACUAAUUCGUUGGGUGUUACUUUUGCAGGAAUUCGACUUGGAAUUCAAGGAUAAGAAAGGCACAGAAAAUGUUGUGGCGGACCACCUCUCUCGUCUCCAUUUUGACACAAUUACAGAGCCAUUAAUAUUAAAUGAGUCAUUUCCAGAUGAACAAUUAAUGAAUGUGGAAGUAUUACCUUGGUAUGCUGAUAUAGUUAAUUAUCUUGUUACAGGUAACCUUCCAGAGCAUUGGACCAAGCAAGACAAGGCUAAAUUCUUUGCGGAAAUAAAGAAUUUCUUUUGGGAUGACCCAUAUUUGUUCAAGUAUUGUGCAGACCAAAUUGUUAGACGAUGUGUCCCUGAAAAUGAAAUUCAGAAUAUUCUUUCAUUCUGCCAUGCACAAGCUUGUGGAGGCCACUUCAGUGCUAAGAAAACCGCGACUAAAGUUUUACAAUGUGGUUUUUAUUGGCCAACUAUAUUUCGAGAUGCUUACACUUUCUGUUCUUCAUGUGAUAGGUGUCAACGAAUGGGGAGCAUUACACGAAGGAACAUGAUGCCACUAAAUCCAAUUUUAGUGGUUGAGAUUUUUGACUUAUGGGGUAUCGACUUCAUGGGACCCUUUCCCCCUUCUUUUGGCCAUCAAUACAUAUUGGUUGCUGUUGACUACGUAUCGAAAUGGGUGGAAGCAAUUCCAUGCAGAACCAAUGAUCACAAAGUGGUGAUAGGAUUUUUGAAAAGCAACAUUGUUUCACGCUUUGGAUUCCCUCGAGCAAUAAUCAGUGAUGGUGGUGCCCACUUUUGUAACAAAGCAUUCAAAGCUCUUUUGACAAAGUAUUCAAUCACACACAAAGUGGCGACCCCGUAUCAUCCGCAAACCAGUGGCCAAGUUGAGAUCUCCAAUCGAGAAAUAAAGCACAUAUUAGAAAAGACGGUGAGGCCAGACAGAAAAGAUUGGUCAUUAAGACUUGAUGAUGCAUUAUGGGCAUAUAGAACGGCUUUCAAGACCCCGAUUGGGAUGUCACCCUACAGGCUAGUGUAUGGAAAAGCUUGCCACCUACCUGUGGAACUCGAGCAUCGUGCAUAUUGGGCCAUCAAGAAAUUCAACUUUGACAUGCAGCAAGCCAGCUCAGAAAGAAGAUUACAACUGGCAGAACUUGAAGAAAUUCGCAAUGAUGCAUACGAAAAUGCCAAGAUUUACAAGCAACGAAUGAAAGUCUUUCAUGACAAGCACAUUAUGAGAAAAUCGUUCACUACAGGUCAGAAAGUGCUUUUAUUCAAUUCUCGUUUGCACCUAUUCCCAGGUAAGUUACGCUCUCGAUGGUCUGGUCCCUUUAUUGUUCAUACUGUUUUUCCACAUGGGGCAAUUGAAAUUAAGGACCCAACGAACGGUGUCACGUUUAAAGUUAAUGGUCAAAGAUUAAAGCCAUAUCUAGAAUACCAACCACAUGGAGAAGACACCGAAAUAAAUUUGAAUGACCCACCAGAUUUGAAUUGAUUUGUUUUUUCUUUUCGUUGAUUUGAUUUUUCUUUCUUUCUUUUUAUUAUUCUUUUGCUAAUUGAAAUUAUUUUUGCAUAAGUGUGUUUGUCUAACUAUUAAGUUUUCUCUUAUCAUUUUUAAUCAUGAGUACCUUACUUAGACCGUUCCUCCUGAACAUUCUUAAACCACUUCAACGUGUCAAAACUCAUCUCAAAAGGCAGAUUCAAUUUUGUAAAACACAUCGCAUUUGGGCUCUACAACCACCAGAGUUAGUAGCCUAUGUUGAGAAUCUAGAAAGCCAACUCCGAGAUAUUGAGAGAAGUGUUUACGACAUCCAGUUGGAGCUUGAGGUAAAUUCAAUAAGAGGACGAUUUUAAUUUUCUUUGUGUGUUUUAAUUUGUUUUUCUGUUUGUGUGCUUUAGUUUGUUACCCCGGUGAAGUGGCGGAUAACGGUACUCCGUGACAAUCAAGUCGGUUAACUUCAGUUUCCCAUAAUAACUGAUAUUCUGAGGCGAAGGUAUGCAUAGAAACGAGAUUUUAGCAAAGCUUCACAAGCGAUUCCCUUCACUUCCUCAGAAUGCCCUCUUUACAAUCUAUAAAGCCCGGUCUGAACGCAUGCGAUUGCUCAUGAGGAAUAACAUACCUGCAGACAUCCGUUGGUUAAUCGAGGCUAAAGUACGAUUGGCAGGUGAGUUACCUCCUAAAUUUAUUGCAUACAUGCCUGGUUGUGGUAAAGGAAAUUAUGCAAGAAAACGACGAGCUCGAAGAAUUUCUGUUGCUUGUCAUAAGUGUGCCAGAAUGAGUUGCGAUAGAAACCCAUGUUCUUUAGGAAUGGUGUCUGAUAACAGGGAAGAUAAGAUUCAAUUCAUUAGGGAUGGCUUGAAUAAGGAGUCAUUGGAUGAUAUCCUUUUGUCUCUUGAAACGCAUCCCAGUGGAUAUGUGCAAGGAGCGAUUCUCCGGUUAUGGCCAUUAUUCCAGAAAGAGCAUGCACGAUAUAGUCUCGGGAAUCUGACUAUAAACGACCCUGUUUGCCAGUUUAUAAGAAAACUGGAUGGGAAGCCCAUCCUCGACCCAUAGAGGGCGUUCAAGCCGUUUCUGGACGUAAAACCAGAGGAAGAUGUGAGCCACAGUCGCAACUACGUGUAAAUAUCCUUUUACUUUACUUCAUUUCACUGUUGUUUUAUUGUUUGCAUUAUUGUCUUUAAUAAUUUUAUUACUGUUUGUUUUUUCCUUUUUACUGUUUCCUUUUUGACUCGCGAGCCACGUGCUUUACGCGUUAUUUGACACUGACAUGUUACCUCAUUCACAGCUGUGAUCCAUUGUCACCAAGAUUCUUAAAUGUGAUUUAUCUUUUGUCAAGCACUCACAAAUUAUUUUUGAGAAGUAUCACAAUGGCAGCUACUCCCAAUAGACAAUUCAAGAACAUUUGUGUGCUUUCUGGAUUUACCUAUGGCAAACAUAAAGAGUUCGUUGAGGCAGCCAUAGAUCUUGGUCGAAGCAUAGCAGCGAGAAAAUUACACUUGGUGUAUGGAGGAGGUAACCGAGGGUUAUCAAAAAUGGUCUCAGAAGCAGCUUUUAUCAGAGGAAGUCAAGUGUUAGGCAUCAUCCCAAGAGUCCUAAAACCAUUGGGCAGUUCGUCUGACUCAUCAACUGGAGAAGAGUUAGUCGUCUCAGGUAUGCAAGAAAGAAUAACUGAAAUGCUUAAUCAUGCUGAUGCUUUUAUUUUCCUUCCAGGAGAUCUUGCAACACUAGAGGCACUUAUCACACUAGCAUCUUGGGCCCAUCUGCACAUCCACCAGAAACCCAUCGGUUUGUUAAAUGUCAAUAACUUUUAUGAUGGCUUUAUCGCAUUUCUUAACCAUGCAAUAAAAAACUAUUUCAUUCAUUCUAAUGUGAAAAAACUCUUUAUUUGUGCUCACACUGCUAAUGAGCUACUUGAUAUGUUACAAGCUUAUAAACCGGAGCCAGACCCCUGGACCUUUGUGUUGGAGCGACCAAAUAAUGAUGGUAACAGUAGCCGCAGUAAGAAGUACAAAUUAGAUUUAACUCUCCGCCUGUAAAUAUUUUCUUCUGUGUUGCACCACCCAGGUGAUGUCUUCUAAACUCUACUUCUUUCCUUUACAACAUUGAGGACAAUGUUUCGUUCUGGUUGGGGGGAGGGAAUAGUCGACAAUUGUGGAAUCUUGGUUAAGUUUUUACUGAUUUUUUGUUGUAGAAACUAACUGUUGCUAACGUUUUGUGUUGAAGAUGGCUGAAUAUGGAGUGUAGUUACUCUAGAAACGCAUCUUCAUCGUUUAAAAAAAAAAAAAAAAAAAAACUUGAUUUCUUCCUCUUUCUCCUUUAUAAAUAUGUAGUUUCAAAUUUUUGAGUCGAAGAUGGCUGAAUAUGGAGUGUAGUGCCUCUAGAAACGCAUCUUCUUAGUUUAAAAAAAAAAAAAAAAAAUUUCUUUUUCUAAUUAAUUUUUUUACAUCAUUUUCACAUUUCUGCAUGCAUAUUUUCCUUUCAUGCUUAGAAUAGGUUGGGGGGUAGAAUGUUGUUUAAAAUAUAUAUAUAUAUAUUUGUGUGAUUUGUUUUAACAUUGGAUGACAUGAUUAAUUUCAAAUUUUAGUAUUUGUAUUAUCUUUGGUCUUAAGUGAUGUUACGCUAUGUUUGCUACUUUACAUGUUGAUGUCGGAGACAAAUAUGAGUUGCUUGAAGGAAUGAACAUGUCAUAAAUAAGUGCCAAGUGAGUUGUUGAGCCUAUCAUUUUCUUGGAGAGUAACCCUUUUGCCUAUUCUCUAUACAGCUUAGCAGUUUAUUAUUUUAUACACGAUCUCUAGAUUUCUUUUAAGUUAACCCUUUAAAAAAAAAUAUGGUAAAAUUAAAAAAAAGAAAAAAAAAAUGUGUGUUGCUACAUUGGGAGGCCCAUCUAACUAGUAGAUAUGGAUAAUUAUUUAGAGCCCUAAAAGACGAUAGAAAGGCCAUCUUUGAUCCGUUUGAGCCUUUCUAGCCAUCCCUUUUAUUAAAUAUCCAUAGUUACCCCUUUUGAGCCUUUAAAAAAAAAAAAAAAAAAAAAAAAAGAACAAAAACCUUUUCUUUGUCAACUUAUCAUCUUGACCCACUCCGAUUUGGAGUAUUACCCAAUGUCUUUUAAGUUCCAUCACCUAUUUAUGUAAAUAAUUAUGUUGUUCAGUGAAGUUAUGCCAAAUAAAAGCAAAAAAAAAAAAAAAAAAAAAAAAAAAAAAAACAAAAACCAAAGUUGUUGUUUCAAAAGAAUAAAAAUAACAAUAAUAGGUAAAAUCCACCUUGCAACUUCCAAAAAAAAAAAAAAAAAAAAAAAAAUAUUUCUGCAUUUUUCUCAAACAUACACUUUGUUUUCCUUAUUUCCUUUCUUUGUUAGCCAUAUCCCUAGCCUACGUUACGUCCUAAUAAAAGUCCUUCUUGAUUUUAGGGAACUAUAGUUUGAAGUAGAAGCUAGUUAUAUGGGCUAAAAAGAUGUAGUGAUGCAUAAUAAAAAAAAAAAAGAUAAAUAAAGUGGGUUGAAUAACAUUUUAUUUGACUUGAGAUCGUAUUAUUUCUAAGCUGAGAGCAUAUUUAUUUCAUCUUGGUGAGAGCAUGUGAUAUCAUUUCUUUAUUAUUUUCUCUCUCAAUUACCAUUCAUUGGAGUGACUAUGUUUAUUGGGUUUUAAUUUCUUUGUGAGAGUGUCACUACUUCCAGUGAGAUUUUGGGGUUUGACAUGUCAUUCUUGAAAGUAGCUAUAACAAAGUCUACUGGGCUAAUUCAUGUGGAUGGUUGAUGUGGGUGUGAUGUUGCUUUAGACUGGAGAUAAUGCUUAUACUUUUAUUUGAUUGCUAUCAUUAAUCUGAUUGAAUAAACACGAGUGUUUCAAAAAAAAAAAAAAAAAAUCAUUUUGAAUUUGAAUUUUGUUUUCGCUUUAUUUGCUAGGGACUAGCAAUAAGCUGGUUGGGGGGUGUGUUGAGUGUUAGAAAAUGCAUAUUUAUAAAGGAGAAAACCGUCAUUUUAUAUUUCAAGUCUUACUAACAACCCUUACUUUUAUGUAUUUAACCUUCUUGUGAUGUAAUUACGUGUGUGUUAUUUUAAUUAAGUAUUUUAUGUAUUUUAGGGGCAUUAUAGUCAUUUCACAAUAAAGGAGAGAUCAGACGGCAAAACGGACAUCACUUUUGAACUCAGGACGGUCGAAAACCUUAGGAGGAGCAUAAAAGGAAAAAUGGCACUAUUCACAUGUACGGUACUAUUCACGUAUACGGUACUGUCUACGUUACUGUUCACGAUACUGUUCACAUAGACGGAUCGAUGACGUGGCAUUGACCGAUGAUGUGGCAUUGACUGAUGAGGUGUCACGAUCCUGUUGGACUAAAAUUCUUAUGUACUGUUGACGGUGACGUGGCAGCAUAUCAGUGGACGAAAAAUCUCGUGUACGGUGCAUGCAUCACACAGGAUUAUUUUCAACCAAACCGCGUUACUGUUCAUCCGGGUCAAACCGUGUUACUGUUCAUCCGCGUGGUCAAACCGUGGACUGUUGACUGAUGACGUGGCGCAAUCCUGAGCGUCCAAACUGUUUUUAAUCCAAUGGCCAUGAUUUACUCCAUGUAUCUAUAAAAAGGGGGCCUCCCCCCCCUAAUUUGAUAUCUCUGAAUCCAUUUUUGGGAUCCAUUUUCUGUAAUUCCCUCUCCAUCUUGUAUUUUCUUUGUAUUUUAAUAAAUUCCCAUUUUGCCCCUAGUUCAAUUAUGAGUAGCUAAUUUCUUUUCAAGCUUAGGUUGAAGGUGAAGUCUCAACAUGUGUCAUGGGCUUUAUUUGGUAAAUUUAUUUUCUUUUCCCCUCUAGUUUUUGUGGAUGAUUUGACUUAUCAUCGACAAAUAAUACUGAUCUUGUCUAGAUACCGCCUUGGUUACACCGGCUCUCUAGUAUAAGGUUAUUAUUAUUUGGCACGAUAAGCCCUUAGCACCAUAUUGAUUAGAGCGUGGUUCAUGAGGUGUGGAUUCCCCCCUCAUGAUUUAAUUGGCAUUAAUAUGGAUUAUUUAGCCCAUGAUGCAUGUUGAUACGGAUCCAGAUACCCAAGUACGUUAUUUCAAUAGAUUUCUCUUCAAUUUACUCUCGCCAUUGCAAUUCCAGUCUUAGAAUUUAUUAUCGCCAUUUCAAUUCCAAUUUUAGGAUAAUUUAAAUCACUUCCACCACAAUUCCAACCACCCAUUUACAAAAUUAAUUCUACAUAUAAUUAAAAUCCACCUCCUCGUGGGAUCGACACUCGUCACCAUUAGUCUAUACUACAAUAGAUUCGUGCGCUUGCGAGUACAUUAAAAUUUGCACAACAGUGUCCUGUUACGAAGAAGAUUAUUUUCAGUAGAGAUGUAACUUUUGAUGAAUCAGCCAUGUUGAAACAAAAAGAUUCUCAAGAGGAUGACAAGACCAGUAGCAUUUUGCAGCAGGUGGAGUUUGAAAAAGUUAAAGCUGAUCCAGCUGGUGUCGAUGAGAUGGAUAGUGAUUCUCCAUCGACCGAAAAUGAUGAAGAGGUUCUGACCCAGGAACCUUCACAACAACAAGAUUCAAUUGCAUAUAGAAGGCCACGCAGAGAGAUUCGCAAACCUGCUCGCUUUGUUGAUAUGGUAGCCUAUACACUUCCAAUUGUAGAUGAUGAUGUUCCUUCCACUUACAGAGAAGCAGUAAGUAAUCCAGAAAGUAUACAGUGGAAGAAAGCAAUGAACGAAGAAAUGCAGUCUCUUCACAAAAAUGAAACUUGGGAGUUAGUUACACUGCCUAAGGAAAAGAAGGCAAUUGGGUGCAAAUGGGUAUAUGCAAAAAAGGAAGGAUUUCCUCGUAAAAAUGAAAUUCGAUACAAGGCUAGAUUGAUAGCGAAGGGUUAUGCUCAGAAGGAAGGAAUAGACUACAAUGAGGUAUUUUCUCCAGUUGUGAAACAUUCGUCUAUUCAAAUUUUGCUAGCCAUGGUUGUGCAAUUUGAUCUUGAACUAGUUCAACUUGAUGUAAAAACUGCAUUUUUACACGGUGAUUUGGAAGAGGAAAUCUACAUGACUCAGCCAGAUGGAUUCAAGGUUGCUGGAAAAGAAAAUUGGGUUUGCAAAUUGACAAAGUCGCUUUAUGGAUUGAAACAAUCUCCAAGGCAGUGGUAUAAGCGAUUUGAUCGAUUUAUGAAAGGGCAAAGGUACACAAGAAAUAAAUUUGAUCAUUGUGUGUAUUUUCGCAAGUUACAAGAAGGAUCUUUCAUUUAUUUGCUAUUGUAUGUCGAUGAUAUGCUAAUAGCAUCGAAGAGCAAAGAUGAGAUAGAGAAGUUGAAAACUCAACUCAACCAAGAGUUUGAGAUGAAAGAUCUAGGUGAAGCUAAAAAGAUUCUUGGCAUGGAGAUAUGCAGAGAUAGAGCUCGUGGCAAAGUAAGCUUGUCUCAAAAGCAAUAUUUUAAGAAGGUACUACAGCAGUUUGGCAUGACUGAGCAGACAAAACCUGUGAGUACCCUGUUGGCUUCUCAUUUCAAGCUUUCUGCACAAUUAUCUCCUUCAACAGAUGCGGAACGAGAAUACAUGUUACAAGUUCCGUAUUCAAAUGCAGUGGGUAGCUUGAUGUAUGCAAUGGUGUGUACAAGGCCUGACAUUUCACAUGCAGUUGGUAUAGUGAGCAGAUAUAUGCAUAAUCCUGGUAAAGGACAUUGGCAAGCUGUGAAAUGGAUUCUACGGUACAUUCAGAAGACCAUGGAUGUUGGUUUACUGUUUGAAAGAGACGAUACACUUGGUCAAGGUGUGAUCGGGUACGUUGAUUCUGAUUAUGCUGGUGAUUUGGACAAACGACGGUCAACCACCGGAUAUGUAUUUACUUUUGCUGGAGGACCAAUUAGUUGGAAGUCUACACUACAGUCUACAGUUGCAUUGUCUACCACAGAGGCCGAGUACAUGGCAAUUACAGAGGCUGUUAAAGAGGCUAUUUGGUUACAAGGUUUGCUUGAAAACUUGGGAUUGACACAGGAGCACAUUAAUGUGUAUUGCGAUAGUCAGAGUGCUAUUCACUUAACGAAAAACCAAGUUUAUCAUGCGCGUACGAAGCACAUCGAUGUACGAUUUCACUUUGUGCGGGAAAUUGUUGAUGAUGGGAAGAUUCUUCUUCAGAAAAUCAAGACUGCAGAGAAUCCCGCAGAUAUGUUGACUAAGGUGGUGACGACGAUCAAGUUUGAGCAUUGUCUAAACUUGAUCAACAUCCUACAAGUUUAAAAGCAGCUAGAGAAGGCAGAAACUGGAAGGUAGUUUGUUGAUAGUCGGCUCAGAUUUACUCAAUUUUCGCCGAGGUGGAGAAUUGUUGAAAAGUCAAAGAAUUGCUUGCCAAAUUGAAAAGGCAAAGUUGGUGGGUUUGCCAAAUUCAAAAAAAACAAAGUUGGUCGGCUAAGCAAUUUCAAAAGACAAAGUUAGGUGUUGAAAAGCUUGUGCAUGCAAUACAAGAUCCAGCUCAAUGGUUUGACAAAUUGAACCCAACUUGGAGCAGAAUUCACUCUAUAAAUAGAGAAGCAUUUUGCAAUUGUAAGUAUCCCAAUUUGAGAGAAGUAGAGAGCAAUUGCAAAUGAGUUCUUUGAGAGAAUUUGAGAGAGCUUCCACUUGAGUGUUCUAGUGAGGUUCCAUUUGGGUGUAUUGGGGUUGUGGGUUUUGUGAGUUUUUCCCACUUUUGUAAAUUUCAUUGUUAGUAAAAUUAUCUUCCAGUUUUUUGCCUGUGGACGUAGGCAUUACGCCGAACCACGUAAAUCACUGUGUUCUAUUUUCUUUGCAUUUGUUUAUCACCACAUUUAUAUUUCUCCAAAAGUUGCAGUAUUAGUAAUUGCUCAACCCACGUUUCCGCAACACAUAUAUAUAUAUGUGUGUGUAUAUAUAAUCAGAAUAUAAUGAAAAUCUUCAAAAUAUCUAAAAAGACUUUUGUAGAUGUCACCAAUUUUCAUAAAUCCUUACCGUUUUGACUCGAAAUAUUUCUACCAGCUAAAGCUUUGAGCACAUCGGCUAGCAUUUUCAUAUCUCUAACAAUAUUUGGCUUCUUCAUUACCUGUAUUCUUGGAUUUUACCAAAGAAUCAAUGAGAUUCCUGAUUCUAUUUGUUUCAGUCAGAGUCUUUUUAUGAGUCAAUUCUCAAUCAGUGCGUUAUUUGUUCAAGUGCGCACACUUGCAUUUAAAUGCCUUUGAAUAUAAAUAAAUAUUAAAAUUAAACUUUAAAGAACAGAGCAAUCAGUCAUGGUGAAAUGACACCAUCAAGAGCAAGAAAAUGCGCCCAAAUUUCUAGUUGGCCAACUGAACUUUUAUUGUGAAGAAUCAUACGAUCGACAGUCUUAAAUUAAGACUACAAAAAUCAUUUAGCCGAAAAAAUAAACUAAUCGAAAAGCAGAAGAACCACUCUUGACUCUCCCACGAUCAAACAAUGACAGCAGCACAAUUGCUUCUCAAAAAUGAAGGGAAGAAUGGAUUAAAUGGGAACAUCUUAGGCCAGCACUUAUUGUUAAUUCCAAUGAUAGCCUUGCAACAAGCAGGGCCAACGCCAUUGAUUUGGCCAGUGGUGAGUGAUUUAUAAACCUCUAAAGCACACCCUUCCGUGCUUGCAAUAGAGGACCAGCAUUCAGUAACUUCAGCCCCAUUAAUCCCUGGCGUCAACAAGAGAUUUGGAGAAGCGACCUUGCUCGCAGCACUCAGUACUCCAGCUUCUCGAGGUGCGGGUGCAGUGCAGAAGUUCUUGAGCAAUGGAGCCAAAAAUGGGUUGAACGGGAACAUCUUAGGCCAACAACUGUCGGUAAUUUGAUUGAUGGCAGUGCAACAAACAGGACCAAUCUGGCCAAUUUGGCCAAUUUGGCCAAGCAACAGGGGACCGAUAAUCUCCGUGAGACAACUUGGUACGCUUGUUAGAGAUGACCAGCAUUUUUCAAUAUCUUGUACAGGCUGCUCUUGUGACAGUCCUGAGGGGAACAGCAUUGUCGCGAACACAACAAUCAGCACCAUAAGAAGGGCAUUUGAUGAUUUUGCCAUCGGAUCAGCAAGAUCACUGGAAGUCUUUGCACUGGUUUUGUUGAUACAAGUUUCCUGUGAUUGAAAAGGAUACUUGUGGUUCUGUGGAAGGAUUAGGUUGGAAGAGAACACACUCUAAAUACUGAUUACGGAAACGCUUGUUGUAAAUUGACGAAACAGUUUCAUAUGUAACAUUUACCAUGAGUUAUGUGCUAAGUGAGUAUUUAUGGCAUAAUUGUAACAGAAAAAUAAUAGCUAGGAAUUUUUUUUUUCAAUUUUUAAUCCAAUCUAUUUGGUUCAAAUACUUAGAUAUCCAACUUGAAUGGAUUUGUUUGCUCUUCCUGGCUGUCAACUCCAUUAAUAACUGUAUUGAGUUCAGUUUUAAAACUCCUAAUAUGAUAACCUAUUUAUGGCACAAUUAAUUAUUCAAUUAAUUAUACUAAUUGACUUAUAUUUUAAUUGAUAGACAUAUGUUGCCAUCUCUAUUGUUGUCCAUGUGCGAUGUUAGCAAGAGAGAAGAAAGAAAAGAAAAUAUUUAUUUUUAGUUUAUUUUUACUAAAGAAAUAUUUAAAUUACUUUCAAAUCGAGUAAUUUUUUUUUUUACCCUUCUCUCAGAUAAGUUAAUAAAAGAUCUUAAACGUAUGGAUGUGUGCGAAUGACUAUUUCAACUUUUGGGGUGGAGUAACAAAUAUCAAUUUAUUUAAGUGUGCAAUUAAAUUUAUUCUUUUUAUUUAAGGACAAAAACUCAACCAAAAAACAAAAUUUAUUGUUCAAACAAACAAAAAUGAUUUUAUAAAUUCAUAAACUAACACUUUAUUAUUAUUAGUAAAUUAACAUAUUUUUACUACAUAAUUAGAUAAUUGACAGUGUGUUAAAUAAAUAUUAUGUUACAAAAAAAAAAUAAAACAUUAACUACAUAGAAUAUGAAAUUAUAUUUAUUUUCGUAUUUUGUACAUUCCAUCCACUUGAUAGUAAAAUCUCGUGUUGAAAAAAAAAAGUUAUGGGGUUUGAACCUUGUUCACAUCGGUAAGAGGAAAUUGGUUGCUAUUAUGUUAAAUUUUUAAAAAAUAUCAUAUUUAUAUUCAUCAUUAAUUGUGGUUAGUAAAUAAUAUACAUAGUUUAACUAUAUAAUAAAUUAGUUAAUUUAUUAAUUAAUAUGUAAAUUUAUUAAUUUAAAUAGAUAUUAAUAAAUGUAACAAAAAAGUCAUUUAAUUAGAAACCUAGUUCAAUAGUGUAAAAAAAGUUAGAAUAUUAUAGACUUAUAUGUUAUAAUUUUAAAACCUUUGAUUUUUCUUAUUUUACAUGAACAAUAGGAGCUUUUAAUGUUAAUAACCCAAGAAUCUCAUCUAAGCCAUGUACAACUCUUAUGAGGAUUUCAAAAAGAUAAAAAAAUGGAGUACCAAAUUCCAUGGGUAACGUAGCUGGACCCCAAUUAUAUAUAUAUAUAAACGCAAUCAGAAUAUAAUAAAAAUCUUGAUAAAUCCUUACCGUUUUGACUCGAAAUAUUUCUACCAGCCAAAGUUUUAAGCACGUCGGCUAGCAUUUUUAUAUCCCUAAAAAUAUUUGGCUUCUUCAUUACCGGCAUUCUUGGAUUUUACCAAUGAAUCAAUGAGAUUUCUGAUUCUAUUUGUUUCAGUCAGAGUCUUUUUAUGAGUCCAUUCUCCAUCAGUGCGUUAUUUGCAGGGAUGGCAAAUAAAUUUUGCUCCUUUUUCGUAGUACAAGCUCUCACAAUAGUUUACAGGGGACUGCAAUUUGGGUCGACAAUCGUUGAAUCGCUUCAAAUCUGGCCUGGACUGGAAGCCGCCCGCAUUUAGAAUCUCAAUUCAGAAAUGCAUAUUUUUGAAGGAGUAUUUUGUUAUUUUGGGAAGUACUUAUUUUUUCAGUCUCGAGUCUCUGCAGAAAGUUCAAAGCCAAUUUUGCCACAAAACAUCACUGGGGAUCCAUCUUUAAUUUGACGAGAAGAAUAACAAUCAAAAUAUGCUUGAAAUUAGUCAACAUAAGGAUGUUUACAACUAAAGAAUGAGCGUGUCCUAGCUAUAUUAUAAUGAAAUAAAGUGAUCUAAUUACAGUGCAAAGAGCGGCAUUGUUCUCGUAAAGGUAGUAAUGCCACUGUAAAAUCGAUAGUGCAAUUAAAAAACAUGUAAAAAAAAAAACACAAGCAGUUCUUGACAUGUAAAUUAAAAUUAACAUAAAAACUUCAAAGCAAUUAAGAAUAGUGAGAAUAUUGUUGGAUCCUUAAUAGAACGUUGGGUUUAUACAUAAAUAAUUAUGUGUUGUAUACUGUCAUAUAAAUUUAAACACAAUUAAAAGUUAUCUAAUUAAGAUUUUCAAUAAUUUGGACUUUAAUAUAUUUAAUAGAGUAUGUGUCUUUUACUAGGAAAAAUUGAGACUCUAUCCUUCUUUUUUUUUUUCUUUCAAAGUAUUAGAAAAAGUCAGAUUCAAUAACAAUACAACGCCUGUCCACAAUUUUUCACUAUUUCUUAUAUAAUAACGUCAUGGGUGAUUAAUUGGGAGCGAAGGUUGUCUUGUCUUUAGGACAAGUUUAGUCGUCUUGUCUGCAUGACAAGUUUUUUGUGAAGUCUCAGUUUCGUUUGGCUUUCUUUCUUCUUCACGAUGGCUGCUAAUGAAGCCACAAUGGAGAACGAUAUUAAUAGAGGGUAUGCUAAUAUAUCCAUUGAGGAGGAGGAAGGUGGAUUAAUUGUGGUCGGUGAUGAGGAGAUUGAUGAUGGCAAGGAGAGAAUUGAUUCCCGCUUCUGUUUAGUAGGUCGUUUUCUCACAGAUAAAGUGAUAAAUUUUGCUGCUAUGAAACAUACCAUGGCCUCACUGUGGCGUCCUGGUAAGGGGGUUUGUAUCAGAGAUUUAUCCCCUACUCUUUUUCUAUUUCAAUUUUUUCAUGAAAUUGAUGUUAAACGAGUUAUGGAAUCGGGCCCUUGGACAUUUGAUCAACAUAUUUUAAUUGUUAAACGGCUGGAAGAGAAUGAGCAACCGCAAAAUAUUCCCCUCUUUUUCACCUCAUUUUGGAUUCAAGUGUACAACUUACCAGUUGGUUUCAUGUCAGAGAAAAUCUUGACAGAUAUUGGUAACUACAUUGGAGUUUUUGUGGAGUCGGAUGAGAAUAAUUUGAUGGGUAUUUGGAGAAAUUACAUGCGAAUCCGGGUGACUAUUGAUGUGCGGAAACCUUUGAAACGAAGAAUGAAGCUGAAGAAGGCAGGGGUGAUUGGCUGUGGAUUGAUUUCAAAUAUGAGCGGCUGAAUAUUUUUUGCUUCAUUUGCGGAUUACUGGGACAUACUGAAAAACAAUGCCCCAAGUUGUAUGAGUUCCCACAUGGUGCCCUAGAGAAGCAUUAUGGGCAUUGGUUGAAAGCACCGAAUAAGAGAUCUACACUGAAUUCCAGCGAUCGUUGGCUGCGAUCGGUGCCGCCAACACAGCCCGAGAAGGAGAAAGGAAACUCCAUGAAUCAAGCAGCUGCCAUGCAAGUUGAUUCGGGGAAUACCAAUAUAUCCGGAGUUGCCGUGUCAAGUAGCAUGGCUAUUGGCAAAAACGUGGGGAUUAUGGUACCAUUUCUGGAAGGUAGUGAGAAAUUUAGAAAAGGGAAUAAUUCCAAUGGAAAGUCAACAAAGGAGCCAGCUCAUCUUAGCGGGGAAAUGGAAACUGUGGAAGAAAUGGAGACAGGGCUUGUUGUUAGCGAGGCCAAAAGAAGGAGAUCACAAGAUAUGAGUCAACUCCAUGUGGGCCUUGAUGGGGAAGGCACAUCUCGGUCUGGGGAUUUUCUAGUGGGCUCAAAAAACGGAUCAGCGGUGGGACCUGUAAAUCAGGCCCACCGAGAUCAAUGAGUACCUUAAGCUGGAACUGCCGUGGGUUAGGCCAACCACGGACAGUUCGGAUGCUAGCAGAAUUGGUCAAUAGUAAGAAACCUUCGUUUAUUUUUCUUAUUGAAACUUUGUGUAGUAGAAGCAAAUUAGAGAGCAUUAAACGACAAUUAGAUUAUGAUGGGCUUUUUGUUGUUGAAAGAGUGGGUCGGAGCGGUGGUCUUGCGCUUUUUUGGAAGGCUCCUAGUAGUGUUAAUCUUUUAAAAUAUGUGAAAAUUUUCAUUGAUGCUGAGGUGGAAGUUCCGGAGCUGGGAAAGUGGAGGUUGACUGGUUUUUAUGGGUGUCCUGAGUCUAGCAGGCGCCGAGAAUCGUGGGAUUUGCUCCGUUUACUAUCGGGGUCGUCUGCUCUCCCGUGGGUUUGCAUUGGUGACUUUAACAAUUUACUAGCGGCUAAUGAGAAAUGAGGCAGAAUUGCACACCCAAAUUGGAAGCUGGUGGGUUUUCAAAAUGCUAUUGCCGAUUGUCAGCUGAUUGAUCUUGGUGUUAUUGGCUACCAAUUUACUUGGGAAAGGGCUAGAGGAACUGAUAAUUGGGUAGAAGAAAGGCUUGACAGAGCUUUUGUGUCUGCGUCAUGGCUCCACCGAUUCAAGGAGGCAAAGGUGUACAGUCUAGAAUCUACUUGUUCGGAUCAUCUUCUUAUUCUUUUAGAUCCUAAUCCGACAGUGCCAAUUUUGAGACAAAAAAGAUUUCGUUUUGAAAAUAUGUGGUUGCGGGAGGCUGAUUGCUGUGAUGUUGUUCGGAAGAACUGGCUUUCCUCUACUGGUAGCUUCAUUCAACAGAAAAUUUUUUCUUGUGGGUCUGCUUUGACGGAGUGGGGUGGAUGGUUAGCUCGAGAUUUUCGUAAACGGAUGCUGGAGUGUAGAAAGCAAAUGACUUUGUUCAGGGGUCGUAGGGAUUGUGAAGGUAUAACUGAGUUCACGAAGGCAAGAAGCCGCUAUAAUGAGCUGUUACAUAGUCAUGAAGUGUUUUGGAAACAGCGAGCAAAAUUACUUUGGCUCAAAGAGGGAGAUAAGAACACUCGAUAUUUUCAUGCCUCGGCUUCAACAAGGAAACAGAAAAAUUCGUUUGGAAACCUUCGAAACAAUCAGGGUGAGUGGUGCACCAAUUCGGAUGAGGUGGAUGAGUUGAUCGUUAAUUAUUUCCAAAAUUUAUUCCAAUCUAAUGGAAGCUCUAGUGCUGAGGUUAUUCAAUGUGUGGAAUCAAGAAUCACGUAUGAGCAGAAUUUAAUGCUCUUGAAUCCUUUUUCUGCCACGGAAGUUAAGGAAGCACUUUUUGCUAUGCAUCCUGACAAGUCUCCCGGCCCGGACGGCAUGAAUCCAGCCUUUUACCAAAGAUUCUGGCACAUUGUCGGUGAGGAUGUGGUUUCGGCUUGUUUACAAAUAGUGAAUGAUUGUUCUUUUCCAGCAGGCUUAAACGACACUUCAGUUGUGUUGAUUCCAAAGAAACAAAAGCCUGAAAUGUUAUCAGACAUGAGACCUAUUGCUCUGUGUAAUGUACUUUACAAAAUUAUAUCCAAAAUGUUGGCUAACCGUAUGAAAUUAGUUCUUGACUUGGUUAUUUCAGAUUCUCAAAGCGCCUUUGUCCCGGGUAGAGCCAUCACAGACAACAUAAUAAUAUCUGCUGAAGUCAUGCAUUUCUUAAAACGGAAGAGGCAAGGAAAACAUGGAGUUGCUGCUCUGAAAAUAGAUAUGUCAAAGGCAUAUGACAGAAUAGAAUGGAGCUUCCUUCAAGCGAUGAUGCUUAAGCUGGGGUUUGAUACCAAAUGGGUGGAGUUAGUUAUGCUUUGCGUGUCCACAGUCCGAUAUAGUGUGCUCCGAGAGGGUAGAGAAGUUGGGCCAAUAGUCCCUUGUAGAGGUCUUCGCCAAGGAGAUCCAUUAUCUCCGUACCUAUUUAUUAUAUGUGCGGAGGGUUUAAGUUCUUUAUUUCGAAGACAGGAAAUGAGUGGCUUACUGCAUGGGGUUAGAGUUGCGAGAGGUGCUCCCAUGCUAUCCCAUUUAUUUUUUGCAGACGAUAGUUUCUUUUUCUUUAGGGCAACACACAAUGAAGCUUUGUUGGUAAAGUAUAUGUUGUCAUUGUAUGGUAAAGCCUCUGGCCAGGAGGUUAAUUUCAGCAAGUCAUCAAUUUCGUUCAAUACUAAUAUUAGUGAGCCCAACGUUCAGCAGAUAUGUGAGCUUCUGGAGGUUAAUGCAACCACUGACCAUGGAGCUUAUCUUGGUCUUCCGUCUUUCAUUGGCAGGAAGAAAAAAGAGGUGUUCCAGUAUAUUCGGGAUAGGGUAUGGAAGAGACUUCAAGGGUGGAGCUCGAAAAUUCUCUCUCGGGCUGGAAAGGAAAUUUUGCUGAAGACGGUAGCUCUUGCAAUGCCUAACUAUGCUAUGAGUGUUUAUCUACAACCAAAAGAUUUGUGUAGAGAGCUGGAAGGAAUGAUGAACUCGUAUUGGUGGCGUCACAAUCACAGGGGUGGCAAAGGUAUUAAUUGGUUGAAAUGGGAAUAUUUGUGCAAACCAAAAGGGCAUGGUGGUCUCGGUUUUAAACAGUUGCACUCUUUCAAUAUUGCACUGCUAGGGAAACAAUUAUGGAACAUUUUAACCCGCCCUGAUUCUCUUAUGGCUAAAGGCGCUUAAAUCUCGCUACUUUCCUCGCAAUUCUGUCCUUCAAGCUUCUUUGGGGCAUAACCCGAGCUUCGUGUGGAGGUCUAUUUUAGCAGCCAAGGAUGUGGUAGUGCAAGGUUGUAGGAUGCAAGUUGGCAGUGGGCACAAUAUUUCCAUCGGACAUGACUCAUGGCUUCCAGACAGUACUAAUGGUUUUGUUUCUACGAAUCUCAAUAAGGAGCUUGCUGCAGCAACUGUUAGCUACUUGAUGAUGCCUAACCAACGGAUCUGGAAUUAUGAGGCUGUGUCGGACCUGUUUAAUGCAAGGGAUAAGGAGUUAAUUUUACAAAUCCCUCUUAGUUCCCGAAGAGAUAAUGAUGCAUGGUACUGGCAGGCCAAUCCUCGCGGAUGCUAUACGGUACGUAGCUGUUAUAAGUUAUUAAAUCCUAUUGUACCUGAUUCAUUUGCUGGUGUGUGGAGGAAACUAUGGAGAUUGAAUGUUCCUAGCAAAGUUAAGAAUUUUAUUUGGAGGGCAGCAAAGAAUGUAUUACCUACUGCAGCUAGCUUACUAACUAGAAGGGUGGCUAUUAUCUCAACAUGUGAUGUGUGUAACGCCAAUGAAGAAACUGUUAUGCAUGCUUUAAUAUAGUGUAGCUUUGCCAAGUCUUGUUGGUUCUCUUCUCCUGUUGGUUUUGUUGGUACUUGCACUUCUUUCUUAGGUUGGCUGGAGCACGUUUUUACACGCUGCAGUGAAGAUAAUUGUAACAUAGCUAUGAUGAUUUGCUGGCGAAUUUGGAUCCAUCGAAAUGAUAAAAUCUGGAACCAGAAAAAUGGCUCUGUUCAGCAAGUCCUUAAUUCAGCUGGGCAGUUUCUUUAUCAGUGGCAGGCAGCUAAGAAGCAAUUGUACUAUGUAGAUGCUGAAGUUCAUCAGGUGGCUCAUGGGGCAGAGAGUUGGGAAAAGCCUGAGUUUGGUUGGGUUAAGUGCAAUGUCGACGCUGCUGUCUUUGCAUCUCAGGGAAGGAUUGGGCUUGGCUGUGUCAUUCGCAACUCAGAUGGUGGUUUUUUUGCUGCAAGAUGUGUUGGCAGGUUUGGAACAUUUGGUGCGAGGGAGGCUGAAGCUCUUGGUAUCCGGGAGGCUCUUAGCUGGCUAAAGGAGUACUAGAUUCCAUGUGUUUUUGUUGAGAUGGACUGCCUUCAAGUUUUUCAAGCUCUGACAGAGGGUUUUUAUGGACCCAAUGGCUUUGGCCUCAUCAUUGAGGAUUGCAGGGAGUUAGCUCUAGCUAUAGGAGAAGUGAAAUUCUCGUUUGUUCGUAGAUCUGCGAAUUUUGCUGCUCACUCUGUUGCGAGGGCAGGAAAUUCUAUGACAGAUUCUCGAGUGUGGAGUUUAGUUCCACCUCCAUGGUUGCUAAACAAAUUGUAAUUCGUUUUUUGCUUAAUGAAAUUCCUUUCAAAAAAAAAAUAGAGUAUGUGUCUUUUAUGUGUAGAGAUUUAAGGAUAAUUUUUAUUUUUAUAGUGAGUUGAAAGUAGAAGUACCUAAAGGUAAAGUUAUCUAUAUAAAUGGUUGUGGUAAAAAAACUUAAAGAAUUCUCCGGGAUAAUGUGUUGAUCUAGAAGAUAAACCACGCUACUUUAAAAAGCAAUUAUUCGUUAUGAAUUCAGAUAUGCUUCCGCGAGCUCAAUUAUUGAUUUUUGGUAAUACAACAUGAAUGUUUCUAAAAUUUAAGCCAUGGUUUUCACCAAUGGAUUAUUUUCUAACAAAUGCAUGUUCAAGUAUAUAUAUUUGCUGAACUUUAUUAAUUUUAUUGUCAAGAAUGAAUCACAAUUCUAAGCUUUGCUAGCGAUGGAAGUACAACCUGUAUUUCUAAGCUCAUUGAAAAACCAGAAAGGAAUGCAGUUCCUUGAUAACUGGCCCAAUCCAUUCAGUGUAAUAACUACCAAGUAACACUAAGCUGUAACAACAAAAUUGCCUAAUCAGGUGUUGGUGCUGCCCCACUAACCUCAGCCCAAGAGCUCUUCAACAAUGGAGGGAAGAAGGGAUUAAAUGGGAACAUCUUAGGCCAGCACUUAUAUCGCUGAUUUCAGUGACAGCUUUGCAACAAGCAGGGCCAAUACCAUUGAUUUGGCCAGUGGUGACUGGUGAGUGAUUUAAAAAUCUCUGAAGCACACCAUUCUUUGCUUGUAAUAGAUGACCAGCAUUCUGUUAUUUCGGUCUCAUUAACAGAUGGCACAGAGAGCUUGCUCCCGGAAUUCGCUCCAGUUGGUUGAUCAGGUGAAAGUGCAGCACAAAAAUUCUUGAGCAAUGAAGGGAAAAACGGAUGACAUGGGAACAUCUUAGGCCAGCAAUCAUCGCUGACUUGAUUGAUGGAGCUGCAACAAGCCGGAUUAAUCUUGCUUGCUUGACCACUGGAUAGUGAAUCACAAAUCUGCCAGAGGCAGCUUGGAAUUUUUGUUAGCUAUGACCAGCCUUUGCCAGCAUCUUGUAGAGGCGGUAAUAGGCCUGAAGUUUUUCCGAUUGGUAUUGCUAAUGGGAACCGUGUACUAGUCCUGUUGGGACAAGAAUUGCUAUGCAUGCCACAGCCAACAUCAUCGGCAUUGUAAUUGCUGAUAUUUUCGCCAUGGAUUCAGCUAUGUGUGCAAACCCUUCGAGUAUUUUCGGAUAUUUAGUUUGUGAUUCUUCCUCAGAAUUAGGUUUGUAGUGAAUUUAUAGUGUUCCUUGAUCGGAUCGAGUUAUUAAUUAAAAUGACAUAACUCAUGUAAUAAAUUACAGUAAUAUUUAUGACUAUUUGGUUGAAAAGAUAAUACUGACGACAUAAUUAACAUACUGAAUUAUAUCUCUUUUGACUAAUAAUUAACGUGCAACUGAAAAUUAAAAUUUUGGUUCCGUAAACAAAAGGGCCCGAAAUUUAGUCAGCCAUUUUCUUUUAAGCCUUGUCCUAUUCAACUUCUUAGCUAAGGCCAACACAAGCUACUGAGCUACAUGGCAAUAUAUCUUUUCAUUUCUUUCUCUGCCAAUUUAAGAUACAAAGAUUAUUGAAAAAAAGAAAAAAGAGGCUCACAAUUGAAUGAUUAAUUUUGCUACCUUUACUCUUUUAGCUUCAAAAUAUGUCAUUGUAAUUUGUGGGCAAAUAAUUACUGCGUCAGACUUGAAACGAUGAUCUUAUUAAAUGAUCAUCGGUGAACAUUGUCUGCAGUUUCGCAGCCUAAUGCUAAUGUAUCAUAUCUUUGGAAAUUCAAUUUCAUCUUUAGGUUGUGUUGACGUGCGUUCAAAGCAAUCUAGUCCAUGUAUUAUAUUUGUUUAGGCUCGGUAAUGGCUUAGGUUUGCAAAUGACUCAGAAGGAUCUUCUGUCUACUGAUAAUAUAAUAAGACUUCAAUUGGAUUGCUACAACAUUUAGCAGAUGGUUCGAAAUUGAUUCUAAAAGAACCGCGAAAGUUCAGCUCCGCUCUUUAUGCGGCCAAAGGAGCGGAAAUAGGCAACUAGACAUAAGCAAUUUAGCAUUUCCAUUUCGGGGUCAUAAUAGAAAGAUAAUUUUUUUGAGAAAACAGAAAUACUGUGAAUUUGAAGGGUUUAACGAUUAAAUUUAAUGUCUUGUGCUCUUGUUAAUUGGAUAUGCAUAUUUUUCACUCAUAAAAAUAACCUGACAAACAAGAAAAUUAUCCUAUUAUUGUAACAUAAUGGUAACUAAUUCUCUCUUUGCUCGUUUGUGCAGGGCUUCAAACCCAUAUCAUUUAUAUUACCAGAGAUUUUAAUAAUUGAAUUCAAUCUCACUACAAAAUUUAUUUAUUAUUUAAAAAAAAAAAGGGGAGGGGGAAGGGAAGAGAAGAAGAAGAAAGAAACAAUACUAAGCCCCAAGGACAAUGCCACAAGUGUUCUGCAGCAAUUGAGGGAAGAAUGGAUUAAAUGGGAACAUUUUAGGCCAGCAUUUAUCGGUGAUUUCAGCGACACCCUUGCAACAAGCAUGGCCAAGACCAUUAAACUGGCCAGUGACGAGUGAUUUAUAAAUCUCUAAAGCACACCCUUCAGUGUUUGUAAUGGAUGACCAGCAUUCUGUUACUUCAGCCAAAUCUGCUUCUGGCACAAAGACCUUGGUCCCAGCAAAUAUAUGGUAAGGUGAAGGUGGCAAAGAGGGGUUGCUUCCGGCAAAUGCAUGAUCAGGUGAAGGUGACGGAGAGAGCGUGGUCUGGUCAAAUGUAUGAUCAGAUGCAGGUGUAACAGAGAGUUUUGUCCCAGCAAAUAAAUGAUCAAAUGAAGGCGCAACAGCACAAAAUUGCUUGAGCGAUGAAGGGAACGUGGGAUGAAAGGGAAGCAUCUUAGACCAGCAUUUAUCCGUCACUUGAUUGAUGCCAUUGCAACAAGCAGGACCGAUAUUGCUAACAUGACCGCUGGAAAGUGAUCUAAAAAUCUCCGAGUGACAAUCUGGAAUGUUUGUUAGCGGCAACCAGCAUUGGUCGGCACCUUUUAGAGGCGGUAAUAUGCCUGGAAUUUGUGAGAUUGGUAUCGUCGGUAGUGGUGGCAGUGUUGUGAACUGCGCUAGUUCUGUUGAGACCAGCGUUGCUGCAAUGCAAGCCGCAGCCAACAUCAUAGGGACUAUAUUUGCUGAUAAUUUUGCCAUUGGACGCCUCCUAUGCAAGUAUUUUCAAGGGAAUUUGAUUUUGUGAUUCUGUGGAGGAAAUUUGUGCGGAAUUUAUUUGUCUUUUGGGGUGACGUUACUUGUGUUGAAGCAUUUACCAUAAUGAAUUGAUGCAACAGUUUUAAUAAUUAACAUUUGUUUUAAAGAGCCUUCUGUUAAUUAACUAAUUAAUUAAAAUUGGAAUAACUCCUGAAUUGGAUUUAAUCAAUAUGACUAAAUCGAGUUCCUUCGUUUGAGUGAAACUGACUAUUAUGGAAUGAGUUAUAUCUCUUUUUCCCAACAUGCAACUGAAAAUUAAAAUUUUGUUCAUUAAAAAUAAACAUGAUUAGAGAGGGAGAUAAUUUUUUUUUUUAAUUUUCCCAAAGGUUAGUAAGGUGAGACAGUGAGUCUUUGUGUUUGGCAAAAUAUUGGACAUUUAAGCGUUGUACGUUUGAAAGUUAUUCAUCCAGAUUCCAGACCAGUUUGCUAGUAAACAAACGUGUCACGUUGUAUUGUAUUUCUUCCGUUGCUUAUUCUUUGGUUAAUAAAUUUUCAAUAAAAUAAAAUUUAAAAAAAAAAAACACCAUUCGGUUGGGCGUUUCAUCAACUAAAUCCACAAACGCAAAUUCAGGAUUUGUAUUCUAUUCUGAUUUAAGCUUUAUGUUGGUCUUUUUAGAAGAAUUUAUGUAUCAAAUCUCAAUUAUUUUCAAAAUAUAUGCACAACAGAAUAUCCAAUUUCACAAAUUCAACCUCCUUCAGUGCUUCUGCCCGAGCAACCCCACUUGGUUUGGUACCCCUUGUUUUUGUCUUUUUCAAGGUGAACUACAAUGGAGUCCUGUUAUUUGUUAUGAAAAUAAAAAUAAAAUAAAAUAAUUUUUUUUUUUAAUUUUUUACACAUUAGUCCUUCACCUACACGUAGCAUCAUUUUUCUCACCCAUUUUUCACCAUCAAUAACAUCAUUUUUCUCACCCAUUUUAAUUAAAAGGUAAUUAAAAUUAUUUUCAAUAUAAAAACAGAAUAAUAAAACAUAAUUAUUACUCUUAUUUUUUAAUUAAUUACAAAAGAAACUUUACAUUAAAAAAUAUAGACAGCCACUGGUGACCACUGCUUCUUCACGUGCAAUGACAUUAUUGAUUGAAAGGGGCCAUGAAGGGUACCAUUAGACUUGAAAUUGGAUGAUCUACACAAUGAUAGUCUCAAUGCCAGAAAAUGGUGAUAUGUAGAGUUGUACGCCCCUUCCAAAAUAACUGCAACCAUAACCACACCACAAAAACACAACAAGUUAUAUUACACUACCACCUUCUUUUUUUCAAUUUACAGACCCUCAAUUUGAUUGUUAAAGGUAAUGAACCUCGAAACGUCGUAUAAUCAUGGGGUCUUGCUAUAGUUGUUUGCAUAGGAAGGUGCAUCUAUCAUCGGCACAUCCAUUUAUCCAGCAAACAUUGCCACCAUCACAUAGAUGAUUGGAGAAUUUUGAAUAUGUUGAUAGUAUUUGUAUUUCUGUUCACUCACUUCUAUUUCUUAGUGAUGGUUCCGUCAUUGUUGUCAUUGAUGGUGCAAUAAUUUUUAGCAAUGUUAUUUUGAUUUUUCAUCUAAUUUACAAAACUUAAAUAUUAAUUAUAAUAUUCAAUUUUGAUCUUGUAUGCUUAAAUAUUACUAAUAUUCAAGUUCAUAUAUGAAUAUCAGAUAAAUCAAAUUCAGAAUAUUUUGGAUGGAUAUUAUCCAAUCUAUUUGGAUCAAAUACUUAGAUUACCAACUUGAAUGGAUUUGUUUGCUCUUCCUAGUUGUCAACUCGAUUAAUAACUGUAUUGGGUUCAAUUUUAAAACUCCUAAUAUGAUAACCUAUUUAUGACACAAUUAAUUAUACUAAUUGACUUAUAUUUUAAUUGAUAGAUAUGUGUUGAACUGUCAUCUCUAUUGUUGUCCAUGUGCGAUGUUAGCAAGAGAGAAGGUAUAAAAGAAAAUGCUUAUUUUUAGUUUAUUUUUACUAAAGAAAUAUUUAAAUUAUUUUCAAAUAGAGUAAUUGUUUAGAUUUGUUUUUUAUCGUUCUCUCAGAUAAGUUAAUAAAAGAUCUUAACUAUAUGGAUGUGUGCUAAUGACUAUUUAAUCUGUUGGGGUGGAGUAACAAAUAUCAAUUUAUUUAAGUGUGCAAUUAAAUAUAUUCUUUUUAUUUAAGGACAAAAAUACAAAACUCAUUGUUCAAA
rnacentral:lncRNA from 1 species